UACUAGAGUAGCACUCGCAUAUCAAUAAGCGGAGGAAAAGAAACUAACAAGGAUUCCCCUAGUAACGGCGAGUGAAGCGGGAAGAGCUCAAAUUUGAAAUCUUAAAGGGUUUCCCUUUACGAAUUGUAGUUUAAAGAAGUGUUUUCUGUUGAGGUUUUGGUAAAAGUUCUUUGGAAUAGGACAUCAUGGAGGGUGAGAAUCCCGUAUUUGACCUUUACUUUCAACUUUGUGAUACACUUUCAAAGAGUCGGAUUGUUUGGGAAUGCAGUCCAAAAUGGGUGGUAAAUUUCAUCUAAAGCUAAAUAUUGGCGAGAGACCGAUAGCGAACAAGUACCGUGAGGGAAAGAUGAAAAGAACUUUGAAAAGAGAGUUAAACAGUACGUGAAAUUGUCAAAAGGGAAGCGUUUGACACCAGUGUUGUUUUUCUGAAAAUCAAUUAAAGAACUGUUUAUGCUAAGCUGUUUAGACUUUAUCAGCUAACUGUUUAGUUUUGAGCUUUUCUUUAAUGCACUUUUCAGUUAACAAGUCAACAUCAAUUUCUUUUGCUGUAAAAAAGCUUGAGGAAGGUGGCUUGAGAUUCGUCUUAAGUGUUUAUAGCCUCUUGCCUAUGCAGUCGGAGAGAUUGAGGUCUGCAGCGUAGAUCCUUCGGGGCUAAAUGCAUUUGUGCUAAGUUAUAGCAUUUUAUAGACAACUUGUUGACUAUGAUUUGUCUUGUAGCUUACUCGCUUAUGUUAUUUUACCUACGCUUAGGAUGUUGAUAUCGCGCUCUCACUG
rnacentral:rRNA from 1 species